GAUGCGUAGGGGUUCUGAGAGGAAGGUCCCCCACACUGGUACUGAGACACGGACCAGACUCCUACGGGAGGCAGCAGUGAGGAAUAUUGGUCAAUGGGAGAGAUCCUGAACCAGCCAAGCCGCGUGAGGGAAGACGGCCCUAUGGGUUGUAAACCUCUUUUGUCGGAGAACAAAACCCGGGACGUGUCCCGGACUGCGUGUAUCCGAAGAAAAAGCAUCGGCUAACUCCGUGCCAGCAGCCGCGGUAAUACGGAGGAUGCGAGCGUUAUCCGGAUUUAUUGGGUUUAAAGGGUGCGUAGGCGGUCUGUUAAGUCAGCGGUAAAAUUGCGGGGCUCAACCCCGUCGAGCCGUUGAAACUGGCAGACUUGAGUUGGCGAGAAGUACGCGGAAUGCGCGGUGUAGCGGUGAAAUGCAUAGAUAUCGCGCAGAACUCCGAUUGCGAAGGCAGCGUACCGGCGCCAGACUGACGCUGAGGCACGAAAGCGUGGGGAUCGAACAGGAUUAGAUACCCUGGUAGUCCACGCAGUAAACGAUGAAUGCUGGUUGUCCGGGUCGAAUGAGACCUGG
rnacentral:rRNA from 1 species